rnacentral:rRNA from 1 species
UACGAAAGGACCAAGCGUUACUCGGAAUCACUGGGCGUAAAGCGCGCGUAGGCGGCCUUGUAUGUCGAUUGUGAAAUCCCCGGACUCAAUCUGGGAACUGCAGUCGAAACUGCAAGGCUUGAAUGUUGGAGAGGUUGGGGGAAUACCUAGUGGAGAAGUGAAAUUCGUAGAGAUUAGGUGGAACACCAGAGGCGAAGGCGCCUGACUGGCCAAACAUUGACGCUGAGGCGCGAAAGCGUGGGUAGCAAACAGG